AGAAUUUUUAACAACAUGCUUAAAAAAUUGUUAUAAAAAGUUUCGGUAAGCAUGACUAUUACAACCCACUUGUGAACGCUUCUAAAACCACCGAGUUUGGUGACCGUUCCUACUUCACCAUAUUCUAAAGUAGUAAUAUAUUUUAUCAGAUUAACAAGUUUAGUUUUGUUUUGGUUUCAUAUUUUUAAGAAUUAAAAAAACAACCCAUACUAUUCUGUGUGUCCAUGAUCCGUGUUCUCUGGGGGCAUGCCAGUGUGCACAUGGAGGCCAGAGAUGCUCCUGUGGACGUGGCUCUCCCCUUCCACAUCCAUGUACAUUCCAGGGGCUGAACUCGGGUUGUCAGUCUUGUUCAGAAGUGCCCGACAAUGCCUACUUGUUAUCUCCACAGCGCUUAAAACAGUAUCUUUUUAAAGUAAUGUUGCUACUUGACUACACACGAUUUCUUUUUACAUGUCUAGUCUAGCAUCUUACUCUGCUAGACAGUGAUGUAAACAGAAGAGGUAUUUUUAACCUCCAUUUUACAAUGAGUUUAAUCCAAUCACUUGGGCAAGAGAGAAAAAAUAGCAGUAAUUUUAUUUCUUAUAUUUAUACCAAAGACUACUGAAGAUUAUAGAAACAAAACAGAUAAAGCAGUAGCUUCCUCAAGAAAAAACAAGGAAUUGAUGGUUGAUAAUUAGUGAAUGGUAGCUGAAAACCACACCAGUGAUAAACUUGAGUGACAGAUACAUGUUCUGAAAGUUUCACAUACACUAUACAUACCAAAUUACCUUCCAAUACCUAUGUUUAUAUCUGAAAAGGUUUCUAGAUUAAUUUAGCUAUGUAGAGGAAUAUUAUUUUAAGGUGUGUGAUUUUGUUUAUGCUGCAUUUGCUAUCCCUGUGAACUGUGAUUCUUUGCCUGUCUAAAACACCUGAUGGUCUAAUAAAGAGCUGACCAGCCAAUAGCAAGGCGGGAACAAGCAUAGGUGGAGCUGGCAGACAGAGAAUAAAUUAAAGGAGAAAUGGGGGAGAACAGGAGAGGAGGACAUCAGGGGCCAGCCCCCCAGCCAGCCACAUGUCAAGAGUGAAAGUAAGAGAUAUAGAAGAAAAGGGAAAAGCCCAGAGGCAAAAUGUAGAUGGGAUAAUUUAAGAAAGGCUGGCAAGUAACAAGCCAAGCUAUGGCCAUUCAUAAAUAAAUGAAUAAGUCUCCAUGUGUGUGUGAUUUAUUUGGGAGCUGGGUGGUAGCCCCCCCCAAAAGUCAAAAGAGUAAAACAUCACACAAUAUAUCUAUAUAUGAAAUUCUUUAGAAUCUCAUUCUAAAGGAAAUUAAGCUAUAUUUCCUAAUGACACCUUUUUAAAAGUAAAAAUAAAUAAAUAAAAAGUUUACCUCAUUAAACAAUCAAACAACAGCCUCCAAAGGGCAGUAUUUAAACUUUUCCUUCAUUGAAAACCACAAAACAAGGUACUUACUUACUGAAAACAGGUAUUACUAUGACAUUUUUAAAAAGUGACUCCAUGCUGACAUAAAAAAUAUGAUCCAAUUCUUCUAAAUAAAAACAUUUAAAAAUAAGUUUUAACAAAUUCCUUAUUUAAGAAAUAUAAAUAUUGCAAGUGGGAAAAAAGGAAUAUAGAUAUGUAGAUGCAUCUAUCUAAACUUACAUAUUUACAAAUAGUUUUCUCUGGAAUUUUCCUUUGAGAAGCAAUGCCAUACAAGCUCUACGUGUAGCUCUGGGUCUGACUCCUAGCGUCUCACAGAACUGGGUGGGAAUGGUGGCAGGUGCGGCCGUAGUGCAAUCUGAUUCUAGCACUGGGAGGUGGAGGCAGAAGAACUGGAAGUUCAAGGCCAUUCUCAGCUACUAGUGAGUUCUAGGCUAGUCUGAAAUACAUGAACCCAUCUCAAAAUAACAAAAUAAAAAUCUGUUCUGUAGACAGUCAUGAUCUCUACAGAAAAACCCACUAUAGCUAUUUUAUAUCAGAUCUAAAUUUACAAGAUUAAAAAAAAGGAUUUAUAUAUUUUAUGUAUAUGGUCAGGUCCCAUGACAGAUGACUGUGAGCCGCAUGUGGUUGCUGGAAGAGCAACUAGUGCUCUAUCUGUUGAGCCUUCUCUCCGGCCCUAUAAGAUGUCUUAUCUGCCUGCCAAUUAAAAACUUGCUAGAUGAGAAAUUUUGUGACAUUAUUUUGUGUUCCCCUCCUUUGGAUUUUUGUAGGCUUCCUACAGCUCUGACCAACAGAGUACUGUCAAAAUGAUAUUGAAGACGAAGCACACAGAGCUGUGACUUCUAUUAAAUUCUCUACUCCCCCCCUCUUCUCAUUGAGCAACAGAAAUCCCCAAGAUACAAAAACAGGCUGUUCAGGUGGCUUCCAAAUAAAUUUCUGAGUAUUUGA